rnacentral:rRNA from 1 species
UUAAGUUAAUAAGGGCGCACGGUGGAUGCCUUGGCACUAGGAGCCGAAGAAGGACGUGACAAACGACGAUAUGCCUUGGGUAGCUGUAAGUAAGCGAUGAUCCAGGGAUUUCCGAAUGGGGGAACCCAACAGGUACUACCUGUUACCCACAUCUGUUAAGGAUGUGAGGAGGAAGACGCAGUGAACUGAAACAUCUAAGUAGCUGCAGGAAGAGAAAGCAAAAGCGAUUGCCUUAGUAGCGGCGAGCGAAACGGCAGAAGGGCAAACCGAAGAGUUUACUCUUCGGGGUUGUAGGACUGCAAUGUGGACUCAAAGAUUAUAGAAGAAUGAUUUGGGAAGAUCAGCCAAAGAGAGUAAUAGCCUCGUAUUUAAAAUAGUCUUUGUACCUAGCAGUAUCCUGAGUACGGCGGGACACGAGAAAUCCCGUCGGAAUCUGGGAGGACCAUCUCCCAACCCUAAAUACUCCCUAGUGACCGAUAGUGAACCAGUACCGUGAGGGAAAGGUGAAAAGCACCCCGGGAGGGGAGUGAAAUAGAACCUGAAACCGUGUGCCUACAACAAGUUCGAGCCCGUUAAUGGGUGAGAGCGUGCCUUUUGUAGAAUGAACCGGCGAGUUACGUUAUGAUGCGAGGUUAAGUUGAAGAGACGGAGCCGUAGGGAAACCGAGUCUGAAUAGGGCGCCUUAGUAUCAUGACGUAGACCCGAAACCAUGUGACCUACCCAUGAGCAGGUUGAAGGUGCGGUAAGACGCACUGGAGGACCGAACCAGGGCACGUUGAAAAGUGCUUGGAUGACUUGUGGGUAGCGGAGAAAUUCCAAACGAACUUGGAGAUAGCUGGUUCUCUCCGAAAUAGCUUUAGGGCUAGCGUCGACAUAAAGAUUCUUGGAGGUAGAGCACUGUUUGGGUGAGGGGUCCAUCCCGGAUUACCAAUCUCAGAUAAACUCCGAAUGCCAAUGAAUUAUGGUCGGCAGUCAGACUGCGAGUGCUAAGAUCCGUAGUCGAAAGGGAAACAGCCCAGACCACCAGCUAAGGUCCCAAAAUAAUUGUUAAGUGGAAAAGGAUGUGGGGUUGCACAGACAACUAGGAUGUUAGCUUAGAAGCAGCUAUUCAUUCAAAGAGUGCGUAAUAGCUCACUAGUCGAGUGACCCUGCGCCGAAAAUGUACCGGGGCUAAAACAAUUUACCGAAGCUGUGGAUACCUUUAUAGGUAUGGUAGGAGAGCGUUCUAUGUGUGAAGAAGGUGUACCGUGAGGAGUGCUGGAACGCAUAGAAGUGAGAAUGCCGGUAUGAGUAGCGAAAGACAGGUGAGAAUCCUGUCCACCGUAAGACUAAGGUUUCCAGGGGAAGGCUCGUCCGCCCUGGGUUAGUCGGGACCUAAGGAGAGACCGAAAGGUGUAUCCGAUGGACAACAGGUUGAUAUUCCUGUACUAGAGUAUGUAGUGAUGGAGGGACGCAGUAGGCUAACUAAAGCAGACGAUUGGAAGUGUCUGUCUAAGCAGUGAGGUGUGAAUUGAGUUAAAUGCUUAGUUCUAUAACAUUGAGCUGUGAUGGGGAGCGAAGUUUAGUAGCGAAGUUAGUGACGUCACACUGCCAAGAAAAGCUUCUAGCGUUUAAACAUACUCUACCCGUACCGCAAACCGACACAGGUAGUCGAGGCGAGUAGCCUCAGGUGAGCGAGAGAACUCUCGUUAAGGAACUCGGCAAAAUGACCCCGUAACUUCGGGAGAAGGGGUGCUGACUUUAAGUCAGCCGCAGUGAAUAGGCCCAAGCAACUGUUUAUCAAAAACACAGCUCUCUGCUAAAUCGUAAGAUGAUGUAUAGGGGGUGACGCCUGCCCGGUGCUGGAAGGUUAAGAGGAGUGCUUAGCGGUAACGCGAAGGUAUGAAUUGAAGCCCCAGUAAACGGCGGCCGUAACUAUAACGGUCCUAAGGUAGCGAAAUUCCUUGUCGGGUAAGUUCCGACCCGCACGAAAGGCGUAAUGAUUUGGGCACUGUCUCAACGAGAGACUCGGUGAAAUUUUAGUACCUGUGAAGAUGCAGGUUACCCGCGACAGGACGGAAAGACCCCAUGGAGCUUUACUGCAGUUUGAUAUUGAGUGUCUGUACCACAUGUACAGGAUAGGUAGGAGUCUAUGAGAUCGGGACGCCAGUUUCGAAGGAGACGUUGUUGGGAUACUACCCUUGUGUUAUGGCCACUCUAACCCAGAUAGGUGAUCCCUAUCGGAGACAGUGUCUGACGGGCAGUUUGACUGGGGCGGUCGCCUCCUAAAAGGUAACGGAGGCGCCCAAAGGUUCCCUCAGAAUGGUUGGAAAUCAUUCGCAGAGU